rnacentral:rRNA from 1 species
ACGAACGCUGGCGGCGUGCCUAAUACAUGCAAGUCGAGCGAACAGACGAGGAGCUUGCUCCUCUGACGUUAGCGGCGGACGGGUGAGUAACACGUGGAUAACCUACCUAUAAGACUGGGAUAACUUCGGGAAACCGGAGCUAAUACCGGAUAAUAUAUUGAACCGCAUGGUUCAAUAGUGAAAGACGGUUUUGCUGUCACUUAUAGAUGGAUCCGCGCCGCAUUAGCUAGUUGGUAAGGUAACGGCUUACCAAGGCAACGAUGCGUAGCCGACCUGAGAGGGUGAUCGGCCACACUGGAACUGAGACACGGUCCAGACUCCUACGGGAGGCAGCAGUAGGGAAUCUUCCGCAAUGGGCGAAAGCCUGACGGAGCAACGCCGCGUGAGUGAUGAAGGUCUUCGGAUCGUAAAACUCUGUUAUUAGGGAAGAACAAAUGUGUAAGUAACUAUGCACGUCUUGACGGUACCUAAUCAGAAAGCCACGGCUAACUACGUG